UGGGGAAUAUUGCACAAUGGGCGAAAGCCUGAUGCAGCGACGCCGCGUGAGGGAUGAAGGCCUUCGGGUUGUAAACCUCUUUCAGCAGGGACGAAGCGCAAGUGACGGUACCUGCAGAAGAAGCACCGGCCAACUACGUGCCAGCAGCCGCGGUAAUACGUAGGGUGCAAGCGUUGUCCGGAAUUAUUGGGCGUAAAGAGCUCGUAGGCGGUCUGUCGCGUCAGCUGUGAAAACCUGGGGCUCAACCCCGGGCCUGCAGCCGAUACGGGCAGACUAGAAUUCGGUAGGGGAGACUGGAAUUCCUGGUGUAGCGGUGAAAUGCGCAGAUAUCAGGAGGAACACCGGUGGCGAAGGCGGGUCUCUGGGCCGAUAUUGACGCUGAGGAGCGAAAGCGUGGGGAGCAAACA
rnacentral:rRNA from 1 species